AGAGUUUGAUCCUGGCUCAGGAUGAACGCUAGCUACAGGCUUAACACAUGCAAGUCGAGGGGAAACGACAUCGAAAGCUUGCUUUUGACGGGCGUCGACCGGCGCACGGGUGAGUAACGCGUAUCCAACCUGCCCACCACUUGGGGAUAACCUUGCGAAAGUAAGACUAAUACCCAAUGACGUCUCUAGAAGACAUCUGAAAGAGAUUAAAGAUUUAUCGGUGAUGGAUGGGGAUGCGUCUGAUUAGCUUGUUGGCGGGGGUAACGGCCACCAAGGCGACGAUCAGUAGGGGUUCUGAGAGGAAGGUCCCCCANAUUGGAACUGAGACACGGUCCAAACUCCUACGGGAGCA
rnacentral:rRNA from 1 species